UACGUAGGGUGCAAGCGUUGUCCGGAAUUAUUGGGCGUAAAGAGCUCGUAGGCGGUUUGUCGCGUCUGCUGUGAAAACGCGAGGCUCAACCUCGCGCCUGCAGUGGGUACGGGCAGACUAGAGUGCGGUAGGGGGAGAUUGGAAUUCCUGGUGUAGCGGUGGAAUGCGCAGAUAUCAGGAGGAACACCGAUGGCGAAGGCAGAUCUCUGGGCCGUAACUGACGCUGAGGAGCGAAAGCGUGGGGAGCGAACAGG
rnacentral:rRNA from 1 species